UAAUCGCGCAGAAGAGCCUUCCUUCAGCAGGAUUUGGAGGUUCCGCUUGUGGGACGAGGGUUUGACGAAGGAAGGAGGAGGUCUUGGUCAAUUUUGCUAGGAGUAGGACGUGAAGCUGGUGUAUGAUUUGUGCAUGUGUUGUCAAUUUUGGUAGAGAAUGGAUUGACCGCGCUUUCGGUGGCCAGACCCCGGCGUAUUGGUGGAUGGGGCGCUUGGCUAGAGGUCAGGAAUUGUGAUCGCUUGCGGAGCAGGGGGUAAAUUAGGGUAGAGAGAAGUGAGGAUUGAGUGAUGGAGCAACAGGGUGGGAGCGGAUGGUACGGUGGAUCGCAGCAGCAGUAUGGCGGGCACUCGCAUGCGGGCAUGCAGUGGCAAGGGACGCCGGAGAUGCAGCAUUACAAUCAGCCACAACAGAUGCACUCGUUGCAGCAGCAGCAGCAACAACAACAGCAGCAGCAUCAAUACCAGCAACCGCAGCAGCAGACUUAUCAAUCGCAGGGUGUUUUUUACGGGCAGCCCACCGGGUACUAUGGGGCUCAACAUCAGCAAGUGUCGCAGGCGCUAGCUCCGCAGGCCCCCGUGCCUCCGCCGCCUUCGCAGCAGCGUGGCAUGGUGUAUGGGCGAACUGAACAGGGAUGGCCAUCAAGCAAUGGUUGGAAUCAGCAGCAGUGGCCUUCGGCUGGAAAUCCGACCGCAGGGCUUAGUCAAGAGGAAGAAUGGGCUGCCAAGGCUAGAGCGUGGGCUGCUGCCAAAGCAGCGCAAGAAGCUCAACAGCAAAACCAGCAGGCACCGACGCAGCCAGAUCAAUCUUUUCCUGAUAGUUUACAGCAGCCACCACCGCCACCACCACUUCCUCCUCCACCUCCACCUCCACCCCAGCCAGUGGACUUGCCUCAGCAGUUUGCUUACUCAGCAGGGGUACAAGAACCUGGAACACCAGCUUAUGGCCAUGAUGCGCAUUCUAUUUAUGGCCAUAAUUCUCACAACGCUCCUGGAACGUAUGGAAGGGAAACUUCUUCCCGGAGCCAUGAGGAGGAUAGGAAAUCAUUUGCAGCAGAGGGAUCAACGUCAGGUUCCGGUCUGGCAACAACGCCUGCUCCUUCUCCUCCAUCUGCAGUACCAAGAAGCAUUUCAGAGCUUGGACCCUGCAGCUAUUCGCAAGAAUUGUCUUCAAGUCACGUUCAGAAUGUUAAUUCAUCAGAUUUACAUGUAACUGUACCACCAGGGAUGGAACAGCAGGAGAUGCCGCAACUAUCUACCCCUCCUCCCCCCCCUCCUCUCUCAGCCCCAACUCCCCUUCCGCAUCUAUCACACCAGCAUCCACCACAAGUACCUUCUCAGUUAUCACAAAACCAACAAACAUCUCAUUUGCCGCACAUUCCCCCCUCUCAAUUUGCAUUUGGAGAGCCUCCUGUGCCAGCUCCGUAUGAUUUUCAUCAGCAACCGCCUUAUGAGUUUCAGCAGCCUCAAUCUCAGGAAUAUCAACACCCGCAGCCCUCGCAGUUCAAUAUGGUUGCAGAUGUUCCAGAAGCAGGUGCCUACGGUGGGUUGCCACAUUCACAGACUUGGCCUCAAAUGCCUUAUCCUGCAAACAAUAUGGGGUCUGGAAUAGGGGCAGGUCCUGGUUUGGGACACCAGUUUGAAUACGAAUUUGAGCAUAUGCAUCCGGGGCAUCAACAUCCCCAGCAUUUGCAGGGUCAUGCAAUGUUUCCUCGGCCUCCUCAGGGGCCAGGAUUUCGACCAGGUGGUCCUCCUCUGGGACAUUUUGGCUUGGGACCUGGAGCUAGUACGGGGAUGGAUUUUUCUAUGUUUCCAGAUAAUGGUCAUGGUCAUAUUGCAGGUCAUGAACGACCCAAGAAGGCGUCAGUGCCCAACUGGCUUAAGGAAGAGUUGUUGAAGAAGAAAGCUGCUGUUACUGGUGGUUCUCAGUUGACUGCUGCUGAUGAUAAUCCUCAUGCUAAUGGUGAUAAUAUUGAAGUGUCUACUCACAGUAAGUUCGAGUUGAUGGACAGGUCAAGAAGUGACUUGUCUAGAAUGAGCGGUUCUGACGACGAGGAGGACGAGGAUGACACAGAAAUUGUGAGGACUGCAGCGAUGAAUCAAGAAAUCAAACGGGUUCUGACAGAAGUAUUAUUAAAGGUGACAGAUGACUUGUUCGAUGAAAUCGCACAAGAGGUUAUGGAUGAGGACGAACUACGAUUACUUGAAGAUCCAGGCAAGAAAGCGUCACCUACUGACGAAGCCGGCGGAGCAAAAGCAAAAUCUUCUACUCAUGCUCCUGUUAUUGUACCUUCUACUGCUCGUUCGUCUGCUGCUGUAAGGGUAGUUGUCGCUCCUGCUCUCAAGAAGAGUCAGAAUGAUAGUGAUGACGACAGUGGGAGCCUAAGUUCCGGAGCUCCUGAUGGAAACCUUUUGGGACUCGCAAGCUAUGCAUCCGAUGACGAGGAUGGUGGUCGCAACGGUCGGCAGGUGACUGAGGGCGACCAUGCUCAUGGAGGAAAUUCUGACGUUGAGGCCUCUGAUUUGAAAAAUUUGGCCGCAGUGAAGGAAGGGAAGUCAAAACAUGUGGAUUCAGAGGAUGAAGCUGUUGCAAAGGAUGUUAAGCGGAAGAAGCGUUUGAGUGAGGAAGUUAUAAAUUCAGACAAUCCCGGUCGUAGCCCGAGAAGAGCUCGACACACGGAGAUGUCAGGUGAUGAAGCUGGUCAGAAUGAGCUUUCCGUUUCACAGAAAUCAAUUGUUACAACGAAUAAACUUAAAAAUGGAUCGGCAGUCUCACAACCUUCUGAAUCGGAGAAAGCAUUUGAAGUUAGAGGGUUAGAAACAGCUGAAGUUGAGGAAGUUGCCGGUGCCCACCACAAGAUGUCUCCUCACAACGCUCUGUUAACAGAGCGCAGAAAGUGGGAAGGCAAUCAUGACCCUUUCAAAAGGAGAAGUGGCGAGGAUUCAUCACAUCUCGGUCGUGGGGGGAAGGGUGAGACAAAUAUAGGUUCAGCAGUCAAAGACAGAGAUCAGUCUAAUGCCAAGCAAGACGCCAAGGAGGCUGAAGGCGAUGGUUAUCAUAAGAACAAUCUAAAGCGGGAGAAGAAUUCAUCCAGGAAUGCGAAGGACAGAAUUAGAGAGAAUACGGAGAAGGUUAAAGACAGAGAGAGCCAAAGAAAUAAGGAGAGAGAGCAUACUGUACAGAAGAUCAGUGAGCGUGAAAGGGAAUCAGAUCGGGAAAAGCAUAAAGAAAGAGAGAAGGAUAAAGAUAGAGGAAAGGGUACCAAAUCUAGGGGCCGGGAUUCUGAAAGGGAGAGACGCAAAUCUACUUCUAGUCAGUUUGACCGAAAGAGCACGCUUAACAAAAUGGAGAGAGAGAAAAGUUACAACAAGUCUCAGAGGAGGCGCUCUUCAUCAUCAAGUAGUCGGAGUCGGAGUCGGAGUGAAAGCAGCAGCGCUUCCGGAAGUCGAAGCAGCAGCCCUGGCCCUGCACGAAGUGAGAGCCCGAAAAGAGGAAAACAACAAGGAGGAAGGUCCAGCAAGAAAUCAAGUCAUUCCUCACCUCCAUUGAGAUCUCGAAGAAAUCCCAGCACAUCCCAGCACACCCCAGCACAGAAGUACCUGCACGAGUCAUAAUGCUCAGUGCCAGAAUGGACGCGCACAUUCUGGGAGAUGUUCACCGCAUCUUAAGACGAACUUCGCGCUCUCCUUCGCGUUCAGUGCCACAUAGCAAGGUCUCUCAUCGCAGGCAUUCCCCUUCUCUUUCCCGUGAGAAGGAUAGGUACAAUGCGUCACCCUCUUAAUUAAAGUUUUGUUGGUGCCUCCUUUUAAUGGCAUUCUAUAGCGUCUGGUUUAGUAUUUGUUAGCUAAUAGAAAUUCUAUACAUUGUAAUAUCUCCGCGGAGGCAUCUGGUGGAAACAAUCCGUCAUUCUGGAUAAGAACCUCUUAACCUCUUGAUGUGCAUAUCAUGAUCUUCCUGUGCACUGCAGUUGGUUAAGAGUUUUUUUUUUUUUUUUUUUUUUUUUUUUUUUUUUUUUUUCCUAUGCCCUGAAUUUGUCUGUUUGGGAAGUGACAUAAACCUGCCGGUUUCAGGAAGUCUUUCUAGUCAUAACUAUCUUAUUGAAAUGAGAGAUUUGAUUUGUUGAGCAUGGGGUACUUUUGUUCUUUGGGACUCAGGAACAGGAAAUCAAGGUCAACGUCACCAGCCCACAAGAGGAGACGGAGCUGAUGGUCGAUUUAUUCUUUCUGGGAUGCUUCGCUUGUAUACUGCCUCUUCAAUAUUGUCAUGUGUAAGAGAACUAGAGUUAUUCAAGUGGUUGGGAAUGCAAAACUUCCUAUGCCUUACCUUCAGGAAACUUGUGCCAACUAUCAUCUUCGGAAGAUUUUUUUUCUUUAGUAUACUCGUGGAAUUUGGCAACGGCCUAGUUUACUUGAGAAGUGUUAAAUAUUGGCCUUGUAGUAUGUGAUUUGCACAGCAUAACAGCUGGCAUGCGGAGCAAGACUUCUACGUGACAAGCUCCUGCUUAUAUCUGCCAGUAUUCGUCGUUGUAUCAUGCUAUCUAUUUUGUUCAUACAGCCACAACUUAACCCGGGUCAUACUAUUGCCUA